rnacentral:lncRNA from 1 species
AUGAUAUCUCUCGGUUCGUCCAUGUCAAGGAUUAUGUUGAAAGCUUGGUUUCAUAUCCUUAAAAAACACAUCAAUGUUGUCAGCUCGUCGUUCGUGUAUGGUGUGACCUUCUAGUAGCUGCGGUUUGCGUUGGUGCUUGGUAGUUUUGUGUUUUAUUCUCUGGUGCAGAUUUAGAUUAAUAUACAUGGAACCUUCGUCUUAUUUUGAUUGUGUUCACCAAAAGUAUAUCCAGGUUGAUUAAGGAUCCAGAAUUAUUCUAUGACGUGACGUACGAAGGUUGCUGCAACACAAUUCAACACUAUUUUGUUUGUACACUUAUUAAAAAAAUGACUUAUAUUUGCAAAUUAGAAAGAAUAUCAUUGGAAUUUUAGAACAUUAUUAAAAUGACUAUGGCUUUUCCAUCGACUUUUGUUAGUAGAGGCUAUCAUAGAGUUAGAGAUCACAUUUUUGGCUAAUCUCACAUCAAUUUGUUGGUUGUAUUUUUCAGAGAACACAAGUCAAGGUCAUUGUUGUAGCUAAGGCUUUGUUUGGAUGGUAAAGGAAAGUUUAAGAAAAGAAAGUAAAAUGAAUGAUU